rnacentral:rRNA from 1 species
UACGUAGGGUGCGAGCGUUAAUCGGAAUUACUGGGCGUAAAGAGUGCGUAGGCGGUUCGUUAAGUCAGCUGUGAAAGCCCCGGGCUCAACCUGGGAACUGCGGUUGAAACUGGCGAACUAGAAUCUGGCAGAGGGGGGUGGAAUUCCACGUGUAGCAGUGAAAUGCGUAGAGAUGUGGAGGAACACCGAUGGCGAAGGCAGCCCCCUGGGCCGAGAUUGACGCUCAGGCACGAAAGCGUGGGGAGCAAACAGG